rnacentral:rRNA from 1 species
AACGAACGCUGGCGGCGUGGAUAAGACAUGCAAGUCGAACGCUAAUUUCGGGGUAGCAAUAUUCCGGAGUUGGAGUGGCGAAAGGGUGCGUAACAUGUGGGUAAUCUGCCGUGAAGUUUG